AGAGUUUGAUCAUGGCUCAGGACGAACGCUGGCGGCGUGCUUAACACAUGCAAGUCGAACGGUGAACCCCAGCUUGCUGGGGGGAUCAGUGGCGAACGGGUGAGUAACACGUGAGUAACCUGCCCCUGACUCUGGGAUAAGCCUUGGAAACGAGGUCUAAUACCGGAUACGUGCCGCUCGGGCAUCCGAUGCGGUUGGAAAGAUUUAUCGGUCAGGGAUGGACUCGCGGCCUAUCAGCUUGUUGGUGGGGUAACGGCCCACCAAGGCGACGACGGGUAGCCGGCCUGAGAGGGCGACCGGCCACACUGGGACUGAGACACGGCCCAGACUCCUACGGGAGGCAGCAGUGGGGAAUAUUGCACAAUGGGCGCAAGCCUGAUGCAGCGACGCCGCGUGAGGGAUGAAGGCCUUCGGGUUGUAAACCUCUUUCAGCAGGGAAGAAGCGCAAGUGACGGUACCUGCAGAAGAAGCGCCGGCUAACUACGUGCCAGCAGCCGCGGUAAUACGUAGGGCGCAAGCGUUGUCCGGAAUUAUUGGGCGUAAAGAGCUCGUAGGCGGUUUGUCGCGUCUGCUGUGAAAACUCGAGGCUCAACCUCGGGCUUGCAGUGGGUACGGGCAGACUAGAGUGCGGUAGGGGAGACUGGAAUUCCUGGUGUAGCGGUGGAAUGCGCAGAUAUCAGGAGGAACACCGAUGGCGAAGGCAGGUCUCUGGGCCGCAACUGACGCUGAGGAGCGAAAGCAUGGGGAGCGAACAGGAUUAGAUACCCUGGUAGUCCAUGCCGUAAACGUUGGGCACUAGGUGUGGGGCUCAUUCCACGAGUUCCGUGCCGCAGCAAACGCAUUAAGUGCCCCGCCUGGGGAGUACGGCCGCAAGGCUAAAACUCAAAGGAAUUGACGG
rnacentral:rRNA from 1 species